rnacentral:rRNA from 1 species
UACGUAGGGUGCAAGCGUUGUCCGGAAUUAUUGGGCGUAAAGAGCUCGUAGGCGGUCUGUCGCGUCGGCUGUGAAAACCCGGAGCUCAACUCCGGGCCUGCAGUCGAUACGGGCAAACUGGAGUACUGCAGGGGAGACUGGAAUUCCUGGUGUAGCGGUGAAAUGCGCAGAUAUCAGGAGGAACACCGGUGGCGAAGGCGGGUCUCUGGGCAGUAAACUGACGU